rnacentral:tRNA from 1 species
GUCUUUGUAGUAUAAAAAUACCCCGGCCUUGUAAACCGGAAAUGGAGAUAAACCCCAUCUCCCUAAGACU